AAGUGGCGAAAGGGCGAGGAAUACAUGGAUAACGUGCCUUUGGCAUGGGGACAGCUGAGGGAAACUUCAGGUAAUACCCAAUGAGACCACAGUGCUUUCGGGCACGGGGGUCAAAGAUGGGGCUCCUUCGGGACCUAUCGACCAUAGAGCGGUCCAUGUCCUAUCAGCUUGUUGGUGAGGUAAUGGCUCACCAAGGCGACGACGGGUACCGGGACUGAGAGGUUGACCCGGCGCAUCGGGACUGAGACACUGCCCGGACUCCUACGGGAGGCUGCAGUAACGAAUAUUGGUCAAUGGGCGAAAGCCUGAACCAGCGACGCCGCGUGUGGGAGGAAGCCCUUCGGGGUGUAAACCACUGUCAGGGAUUACCAAGCAAUGGAGGCUAAUACCCUCCUGCGUUGAGGCGUCCCAGAGGAAGUCACGGCUAACUUCGUGCCAGCAGCCGCGGUAAUACGAAGGUGGCGAGCGUUGUUCGGAAUCACUGGGCUUAAAGAGCACGUAGGCGGACUGCCAAGCGUCUUGUGAAAUCCCCCGGCUCAACCGGGGAAUUGCUGGGCGAACUGGUAGUCUUGAGGCAAGUAGGGGCAGAUGGAACUCUUGGUGGAGCGGUGGAAUGCGUAGAUAUCAAGAGGAACGCCAGAGGCGAAGGCGAUCUGCUGGGCUUGACCUGACGCUGAGGUGCGAAAGCCAGGGGAGCAAACGGGAUUAGAUACCCCGGUAGUCCUGGCCAUAAACGAUGUCCACUAGAUCGGUGAACUUCUGACAGUGUGCCGGUCGAAACAAAAGCGUUAAGUGGACCGCACUGGGGAGUACGGUCGCAAGGCUAAAACUCAAAGGAAUUGACGGGGGCUCACACAAGCGGUGGAGCAUGUUGCUUAAUUCGAUGCAACGCGAAGAACCUUAUCCUGGGCUUGACAUGCUUGGAUGCCCAUCUGGAAACAGGAGUAAGGCUGCCACCCUUCGGGGGGUGAAACUUGCACAGGUGCUGCAUGGCUGUCGUCCAGCUCGUGUCGUGAGAUGUUGGNNGUUAAAGUCCCGUAACGAGCGAACCCUUGUCGUUAGUUGCCAGCGCGUAAUGGCGGGGACUCUAGCGAGACUGCCGGUGUU
rnacentral:rRNA from 1 species